UUAAAUUGAAGAGUUUGAUCAUGGCUCAGAUUGAACGCUGGCGGCAGGCCUAACACAUGCAAGUCGAACGGUAACAGGAAGAAGCUUGCUUCUUUGCUGACGAGUGGCGGACGGGUGAGUAAUGUCUGGGAAACUGCCUGAUGGAGGGGGAUAACUACUGGAAACGGUAGCUAAUACCGCAUAAUGUCGCAAGACCAAAGAGGGGGACCUUCGGGCCUCUUGCCAUCGGAUGUGCCCAGAUGGGAUUAGCUAGUAGGUGGGGUAACGGCUCACCUAGGCGACGAUCCCUAGCUGGUCUGAGAGGAUGACCAGCCACACUGGAACUGAGACACGGUCCAGACUCCUACGGGAGGCAGCAGUGGGGAAUAUUGCACAAUGGGCGCAAGCCUGAUGCAGCCAUGCCGCGUGUAUGAAGAAGG
rnacentral:rRNA from 1 species